rnacentral:rRNA from 1 species
AUUAGGCAUGCAAGUCGUACGAGAAAGUUGGCUUCGGCCGAUGAGUACAGUGGCGACGGGUGAGUAACGCGUGGAUAAUCUGCCCUUAAGUGUGGAAUAACGUACCGAAAGGCGCGCUAAUACCGCAUAAUGCCUGGCAACAUAAGUUGUCCCGGCCAAAGAAGGCCUCUGCUUGCAAGCUUUCGCUAAAGGAUGAGUCCGCGUACCAUUAGCUUGUUGGUAGGGUAAUGGCCUACCAAGGCGACGAUCUUUAGCUGGUCUGAGAGGAUGAUCAGCCACACUGGGAUUGAGAUACGGCCCAGACUCCUACGGGAGGCAGCAGUCGAGAAUAGUCUACAAUGGUCGGAAGACUGAUAGUGCGACGCCGCGUGAACGAUGAAUCCCUUCGGGGUGUAAAGUUCUUUUAUAUGUGAGCAGUGCUUCUUAUAUUAACAGUAUGGGGAGAGAGAUAUUAGCAUAUGAAUAAGCAACGGCUAACUCCGUG